AUUGAACGCUGGCGGCAGGCCUAACACAUGCAAGUCGAACGAGUGGCGGACGGGUGAGUAAUGUCUGGGAAACCGCCUGAUGGAGGGGGAUAACUACUGGAAACGGUAGCUAAUACCGCAUACCAUCAGAUGUGCCCAGAUGGGAAUAGAUAGUUGGUGGGGUAACGGCACACCAAGGCGACGAUCCAUAGUUGGUCGGAGAGGAUGACAAGCCACACUGGAAAUGAGACACGGUCCCGACUCCUACGGGAGGCAGCAGUGGGGAAUAUUGAACAAUGGGCGCAAGCCUGAUGCAGCCAGGCCGAGUGUAUGAAGAAGGCCUUCGGGUUGUAAAGUACUUUCAGCGGGGAGGCGUUACCCGCAGAAGAAGCACCGGCUAACUCCGUGCCAGCAGCCGCGGUAAUUC
rnacentral:rRNA from 1 species